AUGGAUCAUCCACAUUUUGCCACACACCACCAGAUCACAGGAGCGCCUUUUGUUCUCACCAUCCAUGCUACCCUCCCAGAAGACCUGGUAAUCUGGGAGAUCCUAGUUCGCCUUCCUGUGAAGUACCUUAUGCUCUACAAAUGCUUAUUCCCUUCCUGGGAUGCUGCCACUACUGAUGUCGGCUUCGUUCGCCGCCACCGUGAGCUAUCUCGCGUGGAACCAUUGUCCAUGCUCAUCAUCCCUCGCAAGAGCUCUAUCCAGGAUGAUUUUGAGUUCUCCCAGGAUAUCAGUUUCCACCACCUCCAUGUGGAAAAUACACUCGGCACCAUUUGGAACAAUAAGGGGGUGGAUUUGAUGCUUGAAAAGGUGUGCCCGCCAGGCGAGGAAGGUAUUGCAAAUAAGAUCCUCCCCACACACUGUAAUGGCCUAGUGUGCAUCGCAACCAACAAGGACCAGAUAUUUAUGUGCAACCCAGCCACCCAGGAGCUUGUGGCAUUACCACGCGGCACACCAGAUGUUCGCGACAUCAAGGAGCCAUCAGCAGUUCUUGGCUUUGAUGUGUCAUGCAAUCAGUAUGUUGUGGCCAGGUACUUCUACCAGUACUUUGAACAUAAUACGUCUAGUGGAGUUCUCAGUUACGAGAUCGGGCAUGAAGUCUUUACACUUGGUGGAGACUCUUGGAUGCGUACCGAUGAACCACCAGAUGCGAUUGGGAACACACGACCAGUCUUCACACAGGGGGCCUUUUACUGGGGGACUUAUGCACCCCAUGAUCCGCAGGAGAGUGUGCUGGUGCGAUUUAGCCUAAGCAAUAGGAGGUUCGAUGUGGUUCCAAGCCCACCUCGCUUCACCCAUCGUUGUGAAAUUGACUAUCUAGCAGACCUGGACAACAAGUUGUGCUAUGUCAACAGCAACGCAGACACAAACUUCAUUGUGUGGCAGCUGGAGGAUGAUGGGACAAGACAACCCCAAUGGUCACCGCGAUGUAGCAUUAAACCAUUGAACGAAGACCUUGGUGGUGAAUCCUUCUUCCCAAUUUGGGCAGGUUGGGGUGGAAUUAUAGUUUUUGUGGACUAUGAAAAGUUGUACUGGUGCCACGAGAGGAGUGGAAAUAUGAAGGAAUUGGUGGACCUUGAAGAGGAAGUGGAUUUUGAGCGACAAAGGUUACACUAUGGUGGUAACUUCUACCGAAGCCAUAUUGUUCCCUACAUGGAGAGUCUCAUCUCCAUUAAGAUGUGCAACUACUGA
rnacentral:rRNA from 1 species